AGAGUAUUUACAGAAGGCCUGUGUGUCAGAAGUCAGCCCUGUGGCAGGAGGCAGAAGCUGGGAUGGGUGCCCACAAAGGAAGCCUUAUUUUCCAAGGCAGCCAGAGAAUCAUGGGUCUGAACUUAUCCCGUCUUCUCAGAUGGAGGACUAAGACCCAGAAAGAGGGAGGAAUUUGUCCAAGCUCUCCCAGUGAGCUGAUGCCAGAGCCAGGACUAGAACUCAGGUCUCCCAAUUCUCAGCACAGUGUGAUUUUCCUUGCAGAAUGUUGAUGCUCAAAGAACAGGAACCCCAGAACCCCAGGGAGGUAAGGAAGAAGAGCACAGCCAGGAUCAGAAGAGUGAAGAAACAAUGAUGUCCCACAGGUCACAGGGAGUAAGUAGCUGCUCUAGGGGUGAACCCAAGAGUGGUGAUUCACUGUCCAAACUACUGGCUGGAGGAGAGCUCGUGGUGGUCAUGUGUUUGUCAACCUGUUCCAGCUCUUCCCAACUAUGGCAGUGGCUAUGGCCUAACAGCUGGAGGCAGGAACAGGGCAGUGACAAGAAUCAGCAACUGCAUAGGGGCCUCAUCAAUUUCCAGUCCUCCAUCCAGAAGAGGACAGGACAUGCUCAAGCUGCCCCAAAGAGAAAGGACAAAGGAGAGGAAUUCUGAGAUGCAAGUCCCUAUGGAAGAGGGGACAGAGUUAAAUUCCAGCAGUCCAACAGACUAUGGCUAGAGCCAUAGUCUUCUCUUACCUGUAUCUUUAACGUUCAGCUUACUAUUGGUUCCUUAUUAUCUCCUGUUAGUGAGGUUCCUUUCAAAAACAAUAAAACAAAACAAUAUUUUCCCGCUCAA
rnacentral:lncRNA from 1 species